AAGUUAGCGGCGGACGGGUGAGUAACACGUGGGUAACCUGCCCAUAAGACUGGGAUAACUCCGGGAAACCGGGGCUAAUACCGGAUAACAUUUUGAACUGCAUGGUUCGAAAUUGAAAGGCGGCUUCGGCUGUCACUUAUGGAUGGACCCGCGUCGCAUUAGCUAGUUGGUGAGGUAACGGCUCACCAAGGCAACGAUGCGUAGCCGACCUGAGAGGGUGAUCGGCCACACUGGGACUGAGACACGGCCCAGACUCCUACGGGAGGCAGCAGUAGGGAAUCUUCCGCAAUGGACGAAAGUCUGACGGAGCAACGCCGCGUGAGUGAUGAAGGCUUUCGGGUCGUAAAACUCUGUUGUUAGGGAAGAACAAGUGCUAGUUGAAUAAGCUGGCACCUUGACGGUACCUAACCAGAAAGCCACGGCUAACUACGUGCCAGCAGCCGCGGUAAUACGUAGGUGGCAAGCGUUAUCCGGAAUUAUUGGGCGUAAAGCGCGCGCAGGUGGUUUCUUAAGUCUGAUGUGAAAGCCCACGGCUCAACCGUGGAGGGUCAUUGGAAACUGGGAGACUUGAGUGCAGAAGAGGAAAGUGGAAUUCCAUGUGUAGCGGUGAAAUGCGUAGAGAUAUGGAGGAACACCAGUGGCGAA
rnacentral:rRNA from 1 species